AGAGUUCUAGGACAGCCAAGGCUGUACAGAGAAGCUCUGUCUCAAAACUUCAGAGUGCAGACAAAAGCAGGGAAUUCCAGUUUUUAAUUUUAUUUGUCAACAAAUUUUUUCAAAAUGUUCAGGAUUCAAAAAGCACCAGUAUACAAUAUAAGGUGGUCCCUUGCCCUAACACUCCUCAGUUCCAGCUGUUUUGAAUGAGAUUCCUUCCUUGGUAUGACAAGUGGCAUUAGCCUCACUACACAGCACACCAGUGUAGGCUGGCACUGAGACCUCCAGAUGGCAGCAGUGUGUUCGGUUUUGUUUUUCUUCUAGCAUCAUAAGUGAUGUGGGAGUGUCAUAUAUCAAUCUGUUGAUUUCAUUGGUUAAGUUAUAAUAAACCAGCUGCUUGGCCUCAUGGCUUGGAACAUAGAUGGGAGGAGUAAACAAUAGAAUUCUGGGCGGAAGAGGAAGUGAGGUCAGACUCUGCUCUGCUCCCAGAGAGACCCGACAGCUCUGCUGGAGCAGAGACGCCAUGCUCAGCUCUCCCAGGCAGAUGCACGCAAUGAAGCUCCUCCAAUCCCGGAUGGAUGUAGGCUAGAAUCUUCCCGGUAAGCGCACCUUGGGGUGCUUACAAACAUCAUUAGAAAUGGGCUAGUCCAGGUGCGAGAAUUAGCCUGUAAGGGCUAGAGUUCAUGGGCCAAGCAGUUCUUAAAUGAACACAGUUUGUGUGUUAUUUCGGGCAUAAGCUAGCCAAGCAGCCGGGGUGUUGGGGACGCAGCCCCGCCGCUUUCUAUUUCAACACAUAAGUAUCGAGUAUUAUAUGCAAUUGGGGUACAAAUCUUACACCAUCAAAUUCACCAAUGUCUGCAUGGAGUUAGGUCACUUUAAGCUUUUGGACACUGCUCCAGUUAGCUUGAACGUUGAUCUUGACAACUGCUUCAAUCAAACUGGCCUGUGGACAGGUCUGUGGAAGCCUCUUUAUUACUCAUUGAUGUAGGAGGCUAAGCCCACUGUGGGAGGUGCCAUCUCCUAGGCAGUGGAUGGUGGACUGUACAGGAAAGUUAGCUGAGCACCAGCCUGCAUGCGCUAGCUAGCAAGUGGCCUUGGCUAUGAGUUCCCUGGUUAGAGACAAAGCUAAUGGAAUACAAAGCAGGCCUACUUACAGCUUCCUCCCCUAAUUUCUCUCACUGACAGGCAGUAACCAGAAAGUGUAAGCCGAAUAAACCUUUUCCUCACCUAAAUUGCUUUUGUUGCAGCAACAGAAAAGAAAAUUAGAACAGACACUGCCACGAACUGGCCCAGGGGAGCCACUCAGACCGUGGGAGAAGCAGGGUCUUGGUAACAGGAAGGCACAAGUUCGGCGAAUGACAGACAGACAGAACACACAAGAGAGUGGUUGGAAUCUGCUGCGAUUUUACUGAAUUCAUGUUUUCAUUAUAUAGUAUUCAAACAAAGAACAAAUCAAAAGGUCAUGUGUCAUUGGUUGGCACAGUAUGAAAGCUUCUUUUAGUCACAUCAGCAAUAUUUAAGAAAAGCAUAUUAUCAGGGACAGGUGUUAGACAUAAAGCAUCCUUAGAAGAGGAACUCUUGUCCUUGGGAAUGUAAACCUCAGGCAAGUGGUUUCAUCUUAUGAAUAGAAAGUUUCUGUCUUAUUAUUGCUAUCAUGGCCCUUCUUCUUCCUAACCCUUUAUUUCAUCUAGUGACCAAAUAUACCUAAUCAGUUCUCUGCACCUGCUGAACUAUACUUUUUAGUACCUUCUUAUGCAGCAGACAUCAUGGGGUUUGGGAUCUAGCAAGCCUAUCCAUAAAGUUGAAAGUAUAAUAUAACAGUCUUUGUCCAUCAACAAUAACCCAUCUAUUCUCUUGCUCAUCAUACACC